GGGUUGUGAGGUUAAGCGACUAAGCGUACACGGUGGAUGCCCUGGCAGUCAGAGGCGAUGAAGGACGUGCUAAUCUGCGAUAAGCGCCGGUAAGGUGAUAUGAACCGUUAUAACCGGCGAUUUCCGAAUGGGGAAACCCAGUGUGACUCGUCACACUAUCAUUAACUGAAUCCAUAGGUUAAUGAGGCGAACCGGGGGAACUGAAACAUCUAAGUACCCCGAGGAAAAGAAAUCAACCGAGAUUCCCCCAGUAGCGGCGAGCGAACGGGGAGGAGCCCAGAGCCUGAAUCAGCAUGUGUGUUAGUGGAAGCGUCUGGAAAGGCGCGCGAUACAGGGUGACAGCCCCGUACACAAAAGCGCAUGUGCUGUGAGCUCGAUGAGUAGGGCGGGACACGUGGUAUCCUGUCUGAAUAUGGGGGGACCAUCCUCCAAGGCUAAAUACUCCUGACUGACCGAUAGUGAACCAGUACCGUGAGGGAAAGGCGAAAAGAACCCCGGCGAGGGGAGUGAAAAAGAACCUGAAACCGUGUACGUACAAGCAGUGGGAGCACCCUUUGGGGUGUGACUGCGUACCUUUUGUAUAAUGGGUCAGCGACUUAUAUUCUGUAGCAAGGUUAACCGUAUAGGGGAGCCGGAGGGAAACCGAGUCUUAACCGGGCGUUAAGUUGCAGGGUAUAGACCCGAAACCCGGUGAUCUAGCCAUGGGCAGGUUGAAGGUUGGGUAACACUAACUGGAGGACCGAACCGACUAAUGUUGAAAAAUUAGCGGAUGACCUGUGGCUGGGGGUGAAAGGCCAAUCAAACCGGGAGAUAGCUGGUUCUCCCCGAAAGCUAUUUAGGUAGCGCCUCGUGAAUUCAUCUCCGGGGGUAGAGCACUGUUUCGGCUAGGGGGCCAUCCCGGCUUACCAACCCGAUGCAAACUGCGAAUACCGGAGAAUGUUAUCACGGGAGACACACGGCGGGUGCUAACGUCCGUCGUGAAGAGGGAAACAACCCAGACCGCCAGCUAAGGUCCCAAAGUCAUGGUUAAGUGGGAAACGAUGUGGGAAGGCCCAGACAGCCAGGAUGUUGGCUUAGAAGCAGCCAUCAUUUAAAGAAAGCGUAAUAGCUCACUGGUCGAGUCGGCCUGCGCGGAAGAUGUAACGGGGCUAAACCAUGCACCGAAGCUGCGGCAGCGACACUAUGUGUUGUUGGGUAGGGGAGCGUUCUGUAAGCCUGUGAAGGUGUGUCGUGAGGCAUGCUGGAGGUAUCAGAAGUGCGAAUGCUGACAUAAGUAACGAUAAAGCGGGUGAAAAGCCCGCUCGCCGGAAGACCAAGGGUUCCUGUCCAACGUUAAUCGGGGCAGGGUGAGUCGACCCCUAAGGCGAGGCCGAAAGGCGUAGUCGAUGGGAAACGGGUUAAUAUUCCCGUACUUGGUGUUACUGCGAAGGGGGGACGGAGAAGGCUAUGUUGGCCGGGCGACGGUUGUCCCGGUUUAAGCGUGUAGGUGUGUGUUCCAGGUAAAUCCGGUUCACUUUAACACUGAGGCGUGACGACGAGGCACUACGGUGCUGAAGCAACAAAUGCCCUGCUUCCAGGAAAAGCCUCUAAGCAUCAGGUAACAUCAAAUCGUACCCCAAACCGACACAGGUGGUCAGGUAGAGAAUACCAAGGCGCUUGAGAGAACUCGGGUGAAGGAACUAGGCAAAAUGGUGCCGUAACUUCGGGAGAAGGCACGCUGACACGUAGGUGAAGUGAUUUACUCAUGGAGCUGAAGUCAGUCGAAGAUACCAGCUGGCUGCAACUGUUUAUUAAAAACACAGCACUGUGCAAACACGAAAGUGGACGUAUACGGUGUGACGCCUGCCCGGUGCCGGAAGGUUAAUUGAUGGGGUCAGCGCAAGCGAAGCUCCUGAUCGAAGCCCCGGUAAACGGCGGCCGUAACUAUAACGGUCCUAAGGUAGCGAAAUUCCUUGUCGGGUAAGUUCCGACCUGCACGAAUGGCGUAAUGAUGGCCAGGCUGUCUCCACCCGAGACUCAGUGAAAUUGAACUCGCUGUGAAGAUGCAGUGUACCCGCGGCAAGACGGAAAGACCCCGUGAACCUUUACUAUAGCUUGACACUGAACAUUGAGCCUUGAUGUGUAGGAUAGGUGGGAGGCUUUGAAGUGUGGACGCCAGUCUGCAUGGAGCCGGCCUUGAAAUACCACCCUUUAAUGUUUGAUGUUCUAACGUGGACCCGUGAUCCGGGUUGCGGACAGUGUCUGGUGGGUAGUUUGACUGGGGCGGUCUCCUCCUAAAGAGUAACGGAGGAGCACGAAGGUUGGCUAAUCCUGGUCGGACAUCAGGAGGUUAGUGCAAUGGCAUAAGCCAGCUUGACUGCGAGCGUGACGGCGCGAGCAGGUGCGAAAGCAGGUCAUAGUGAUCCGGUGGUUCUGAAUGGAAGGGCCAUCGCUCAACGGAUAAAAGGUACUCCGGGGAUAACAGGCUGAUACCGCCCAAGAGUUCAUAUCGACGGCGGUGUUUGGCACCUCGAUGUCGGCUCAUCACAUCCUGGGGCUGAAGUAGGUCCCAAGGGUAUGGCUGUUCGCCAUUUAAAGUGGUACGCGAGCUGGGUUUAGAACGUCGUGAGACAGUUCGGUCCCUAUCUGCCGUGGGCGCUGGAGAACUGAGGGGGGCUGCUCCUAGUACGAGAGGACCGGAGUGGACGCAUCACUGGUGUUCGGGUUGUCAUGCCAAUGGCACUGCCCGGUAGCUAAAUGCGGAAGAGAUAAGUGCUGAAAGCAUCUAAGCACGAAACUUGCCCCGAGAUGAGUUCUCCCUGAGACUUAGAGUCUCCUGAAGGAACGUUGAAGACGACGACGUUGAUAGGCCGGGUGUGUAAGCGCAGCGAUGCGUUGAGCUAACCGGUACUAAUGAACCGUGAGGCUUAACCUUACAACGCCGAAG
rnacentral:rRNA from 1 species